rnacentral:lncRNA from 1 species
AUCCACUAAACCUCUUCCUAAUUCAUCAUCCAUAAACUAGAAACUGAAACUUUUGCCCAAAAAGUAGACAUUGCAUAGAUCGGGAUUGGUUAGGGUUUCACCUUGCUUUGCUUCCUUGGAUUGAGGGGAUGAGAGAAGAAUGUCCCUCCUUGGAGAGGGAGCAGCCCACCCCAAUGCACCACUGGAGAAGACCAGAGAAGGCCUUCCCCUCUUCUCCUUCUUCCUCACGGCAGGGAAGAGGCCGAUGGGGAGAAGUCCCCUAGAGCCGGCGUGAGGGAGAGAGAGAGACAGAGAGGGAGAGGUGCGGCGCAAUGUGGAGAAGAGAGAGAGAGAUCACGGGCACGACUAGAGAAGAAAAGAAAAAAAAAAUGGGCCCGUGAGAUCCAGUCCAGGGCAAUUUUGCCUGAACCGCUUAGGGCAGCACUGCCGCCCUCCUUAGCAGC